rnacentral:rRNA from 1 species
UAAGGAAUAUUGGACAAUGGAGGCAACUCUGAUCCAGCCAUGCCGCGUGAAGGAAUAAGGCCCUAUGGGUUGUAAACUUCUUUUAGACGGGACAAAACCCCUUUACGUGUAAAGGGUUGAUGGUACUGUCAGAAUAAGCAUCGGCUAACUUCGUGCCAGCAGCCGCGGUAAUACGAAGGAUGCAAGCGUUAUCCGGAAUUAUUGGGUUUAAAGGGUGCGUAGGCGGACUAAUAAGUCAGUGGUGAAAGCCUGCAGCUUAACUGCAGAAUUGCCAUUGAUACUGUUAGUCUUGAGUACAGUUGAGNUAUGCGGAAUGUGUCAUGUAGCGGUGAAAUGCUUAGAUAUGACACAGAACACCAAUUGCGAAGGCAGCUUGCUAAGCUGUAACUGACGCUGAGGCACGAAAGCGUGGGGAGCAAACA